AAUUUUAGACCUCAAAUCAGUCAGGACUACCCGCUGAACUUAAGCAUAUCAAUAAGCGGAGGAAAAGAAACUAACAAGGAUUCCCCUAGUAACGGCGAGUGAAGUGGGAAAAGCUCAACUUUGAAAUCUGGUACUUUCAGUAUCCGAAUUGUAGUCUCAAGAAGUGUUUUCUGUGCCGGUCCAUGUAUGAGUCUGUUGGAACACAGCGUCAUAGAGGGUGACAACCCCGUUCAUGACAUGGAUCCCGGUGCUUUGUGAUACACUCUCGAAGAGUCGAGUUGUUUGGGAAUGCAGCUCAAAUUGGGUGGUAAAUUCCAUCUAAAGCUAAAUAUUGGCGAGAGACCGAUAGCAAACAAGUACCGUGAGGGAAAGAUGAAAAGCACUUUGGAAAGAGAGUUAACAGUACGUGAAAUUGUUGAAAGGGAAACGAUUGAAGUCAGACGUGCGUGAUGCGGUUCAGCUCUAGUUCGCUAGAGUGUACUCCGUAUCUUUGCAGGCCAGCAUCGGUUUUGUUAGUCGGAUAAAGGUUUGAGAAAUGUGGCAUCUUCGGAUGUGUUAUAGUCUCAGACUGAAUACGAUUGAUGGGACCGAGGAACGCAGCGCGCCGCAAGGCAAAGGUUC
rnacentral:sRNA from 1 species